UGGGGAAUAUUGCACAAUGGGCGCAAGCCUGAUGCAGCCAUGCCGCGUGUGUGAAGAAGGCCUUCGGGUUGUAAAGCACUUUCAGCGAGGAGGAAGGUGGUGAACUUAAUACGUUCAUCAAUUGACGUUACUCGCAGAAGAAGCACCGGCUAACUCCGUGCCAGCAGCCGCGGUAAUACGGAGGGUGCAAGCGUUAAUCGGAAUUACUGGGCGUAAAGCGCACGCAGGCGGUUUGUUAAGUCAGAUGUGAAAUCCCCGGGCUCAACCUGGGAACUGCAUUUGAAACUGGCAAGCUAGAGUCUCGUAGAGGGGGGUAGAAUUCCAGGUGUAGCGGUGAAAUGCGUAGAGAUCUGGAGGAAUACCGGUGGCGAAGGCGGCCCCCUGGACGAAGACUGACGCUCAGGUGCGAAAGCGUGAGGAGCAAACAGGAUUAGAUACCCUGGUAGUCCACGCUGUAAACGAUGUCGAUUUUGGAGGUUGUGCCCUUGAGGCGUGGCUUCCGGAGCUAACGCGUUAAAUCGACCGCCUGGGGAGUACGGCCGCAAGGUUAAAACUUAAAGGAAUUG
rnacentral:rRNA from 1 species